CACUUCUUAUGUCACCUGCUGGGGAUCAACCCCCCUAGGAGUUGGUCCAACUCAGGUAAAGCAGCCAUUUAUGUGGCUUAAAUAGUAUUAAUAGAAGAUGGUCUCCCCCUUUGUCACCUACCAUGUUUCCCAGUGACACUCAGCUGAGGUCACAGAAAACACCCACACAGAACCUCAGCCAACCCAUCAAGGCUAACACUGCACAAGGAAGGUGUAAGAGUUGCCAUCUCAACCAUCAUGAUCAAACCAUCAUGGCCAAUAGGACUAUAUGCCAGUGUCUUUUCAAGGAAAUAGAAGAAAGGAUCCAGCAUCCUUUGGGGGUUGCCUUCAAGAUAGUGAACACAGGACCGGAUAUAUGCACACGUUUGCUCAUGUGUGUGAGCAACUUCACUUGGGAGCACCUGAUAAUUCAGUUUAUAAGCUUAACUGUGACAUUUACAAGACACUUUUCUUCACUGCACUCAAUGUGAGCACCUGUAAAAUGGCAUCAAAGAGUGAAGAGGAUUUAAAUCAAUUACAGAGCUCCCACGCAAGGCUGAAUCACUGUACCAGUGCCCAGGACGAGCAACAGCAUGAAGCCUCUCACUGAAGCCAUCCAGUCAUCUCAGGAAGAAAUACUCCCUAGCGGCUUUCUCAGAAGAUUGACACCUACCACUUGAAUUUCCUUGCUGGAUUAGAAAUAAAUAACACAUCACAUGUUA